AUUGAACGCUGGCGGCAGGCCUAACACAUGCAAGUCGAGCGGAUGAAGGGAGCUUGCUCCUGGAUUCAGCGGCGGACGGGUGCGUAAUGCCUAGGAAUCUGCCUGGUAGUGGGGGAUAACGUCCGGAAACGGGCGCUAAUACCGCAUACGUCCUGAGGGAGAAAGUGGGGGAUCUUCGGACCUCACGCUAUCAGAUGAGCCUAGGUCGGAUUAGCUAGUUGGUGGGGUAAAGGCCUACCAAGGCGACGAUCCGUAACUGGUCUGAGAGGAUGAUCAGUCACACUGGAACUGAGACACGGUCCAGACUCCUACGGGAGGCAGCAGUGGGGAAUAUUGGACAAUGGGCGAAAGCCUGAUCCAGCCAGGCCGCGUGUGUGAAGAAGGUCUUCGGAUUGUAAAGCACUUUAAGUUGGGAGGAAGGGCAGUAAGUUAAUACCUUGCUGUUUUGACGUUACCAACAGAAUAAGCACCGGCUAACUUCGUG
rnacentral:rRNA from 1 species